rnacentral:rRNA from 1 species
CCCGCGUCUGAUUAGCUAGUUGGUGAGGUAAAGGCUCACCAAGGCGACGAUCAGUAGCUGGUCUGAGAGGAUGAUCAGCCACAUUGGGACUGAGACACGGCCCAAACUCCUACGGGAGGCAGCAGUGGGGAAUCUUGCGCAAUGGGCGAAAGCCUGACGCAGCCAUGCCGCGUGAAUGAUGAAGGUCUUAGGAUUGUAAAAUUCUUUCACCGGGGACGAUAAUGACGGUACCCGGAGAAGAAGCCCCGGCUAACUUCGUGCCAGCAGCCGCGGUAAUACGAAGGGGGCUAGCGUUGCUCGGAAUUACUGGGCGUAAAGGGAGCGUAGGCGGACAUUUAAGUCAGGGGUGAAAUCCCGGGGCUCAACCUCGGAAUUGCCUUUGAUACUGGGUGUCUUGAGUAUGAGAGAGGUGUGUGGAACUCCGAGUGUAGAGGUGAAAUUCGUAGAUAUUCGGAAGAACACCAGUGGCGAAGGCGACACACUGGCUCAUUACUGACGCUGAGGCUCGAAAGCGUGGGGAGCAAACAGGAUUAGAUACCCUGGUAGUCCACGCCGUAAACGAUGAUUGCUAGUUGUCGGGAUGCAUGCAUUUCGGUGACGCCAGCUAA